GAAAUGCGAUAAUCAGUGUGAAUUGCAAAAGGGACACACUUGAUCUUUGAACGCACAUUGCGGCCUAGUUAACGCUAGGCCUUGUCUCUCUGAGGGUUGGAUUACUAAUCGAUCGUAGUACAGAGCGAAUUGAUCUAUUAACUUAGAUUAAUCGCUUACUUUGAGUAUACCUGUAGCUCCUUUUCUGAGCAAAGGUGUCCCCGGACACCUAGACUCUCAGACUGGUAAGCUUGCAGAAUGGACCAAAUUCCGUUUAAAUUUAGUCAACCUCAGAUGAAGCAAGACUACCCGCUUAACUUAA
rnacentral:misc_RNA from 1 species